UACGUAGGGUGCAAGCGUUGUCCGGAAUUAUUGGGCGUAAAGAGCUCGUAGGCGGUUUGUUGCGUCGGCUGUGAAAUCCCGAGGCUCAACCUCGGGUCUGCAGUCGAUACGAGCAAACUAGAGUGUUGCAGGGGAGACUGGAAUUCCUGGUGUAGCGGUGAAAUGCGCAGAUACCAGGAGGAACACCGGUGGCGAAGGCGGGUCUCUGGGCAACAACUGACGCUGAGGAGCGAAAGCGUGGGGAGCGAACAGG
rnacentral:rRNA from 1 species